GUGCUCAUUUAAGCAGCAUGUGUACAAAAUUGGAAGGGUACAGAGAUUAGCAUCGCUCCUGUGUAAGAAUGACACGCAAUUUUGAAAAACAUUCUGUAUUUUA
ensembl:snRNA U6 U6 spliceosomal RNA